rnacentral:misc_RNA from 1 species
AAGUCGUAACAAGGUUUCCGUAGGUGAACCUGCGGAAGGAUCAUUAUUGAAUUUAUGGAGGGGGUUGCUGCUGGCCUUUCGAGGCAUGUGCACGCUCCUGUUCAAAUCCAUUUCACCCCUGUGCACUUUUGUAGGCCAAAUUUAUUUUGGUCUAUGUUUUUUACACACCCUUAUAAAAUUUUUGAAUGUCAUUAUGUAGGCUUUGAUAAAAGCUGAAAUAAAUUAAUACAACUUUCAACAACGGAUCUCUUGGCUCUC